rnacentral:rRNA from 1 species
UACAGAGGUCUCAAGCGUUGUUCGGAUUCAUUGGGCGUAAAGGGGGCGUAGGCGGCGCGGUAAGUCGGGUGUGAAAUCUUGGAGCUUAACUCCGAAACUGCAUUCGAUACUGCCGUGCUUGAGGACUGGAGAGGAGACUGGAAUUUACGGUGUAGCGGUGAAAUGCGUAGAGAUGUGGAGGAACACCAGUGGCGAAGGCGACUCUUUGGCCUGUAACUGACGCUGAGGCGCGAAAGCGUGGGGAGCAAACAGG